rnacentral:rRNA from 1 species
UACGUAGGGUGCGAGCGUUGUCCGGAAUUAUUGGGCGUAAAGGGCUCGUAGGCGGUUUGUCGCGUCGGGAGUGAAAUCCACUGGCUUAACUGGUGGCUUGCUUUCGAUACGGGCAGGCUGGAGUUCGGUAGGGGAGACUGGAAUUCAUGGUGUAGCAGUGAAAUGCGUAGAGAUCAUGAGGAAGACCAGUGGCGAAGGCGGGUCUCUGGACAGUUCCUGACACUGAGGCACGAAGGCCAGGGGAGCAAACGGG